CGGGGCGUAGCGCAGUCCGGUAGCGCGUCUGGUUUGGGACCAGAAGGUCCCGGGUUCGAAUCCCGGCGCCCCGACCU
rnacentral:tRNA from 1 species